CAGUGGUGUGAACACGGCAGCUGCUUCAUCAGCCUGGAAUCCUGAACCACAAGGAGUGGGGACCCUGCCAGCCUACAGUGGACAAGGGAGGCAGUUACCAAGCCUCUGUGGGCAGUUGGUUUGGGAAGAGAAUUGGUAUUUUCUGCCUUCAAGACAGCUUGAGAGCUGCCUGCAUGUGACCACAGAAGGAUCCUAACAUCCCCCCAAACAUUCAGACCAUGAACACAGGCUCCCAUGUUGCCAAACUCUUAAGACUACAUCAAAUGAAAGUCCCAGAGGAGGGAGCAGGGUAAGAGGAACACUGGCAGAUUUCUCACUAAGAAGGCCGAAAGAAGAGAAUUCAAAAAAUCUGAAGGAAUGUAAAUAAGUGUUCUACAAAGAGACAUGGGUGGUGCCGUGGGAUUAGCAUGGAUUUUGAAAUCAGCCUGAUUUGGGUUCAUGUCCUGACUCUGUGAAACUGUAAAAAGCCACCCCAAUUCUGGAAGCAUCACUUUCCUCAUUAAAAUAGACAU